rnacentral:tRNA from 1 species
CAAAUUAAAGUUUAUUAUUAAAUAUUUCAUUUACAUUGAAAAGAAAUUGGAGUUAUCAUUUAAUUUGA